UACGUAUGGAGCAAGCGUUAUCCGGAUUUACUGGAUGUAAAGGGAGCGUAGACGGUUUGCCAAGUCUGAUGUGAAAGGUGUGGGCUCAACCCGCAAACUGCAUUGGAAACUGGUAGACUAGAGUGUCGGAGAGGUAAGUGGAAUUCCUAGUGUAGCGGUGAAAUGCGUAGAUAUUAGGAGGAACACCAGCGGCGAAGGCGGCUUACUGGACGAUAACUGACGUUGAGGCUCGAGAGUGUGGGGAUCAAAC
rnacentral:rRNA from 1 species